rnacentral:lncRNA from 10 species
CCCAUGGCAACAGCAGGUGCUUCUCAUUCAAAUUCAAACUGGUCAGUUUCUUUCCUUUGUUCACUCUGCUCUCCUAAAACCAUCAUCCCAGUCUCCUUGCUGCAAAACUUGCCAAGUCAUGAGAGCGCACCCCAAGGUUGUGAACCCCUCAGACAUGUCCAGUUCUUCUCUUACAACCAAACCUGUCUUCCCAGACACUUCUGAAUGAGGAGGCCUAGGAAGAAAGAGGAAAAGAGAGAGAGAAAGUGUGCACGCACAGGCGCACAAACACAAAAUCCGGCUUCCACGGAGGACAGCAGCAGCCUGCUGCACAGUGGGGACCAAGAGAUACAAGGCUGCCCAUGUAACAGAUGCAAGUUUCCCGUGCUCCGGUUCAGCUGGGAAUGCAGGCUGUAAAGCUGAAAUAAAUCACAUGGAACUUGCUGUCAUCUCUCUACCUUCCUGCUAAACCCUUCGACACUGCCGCUUGACUGGCUGGAGUCGUCGUAGUUUUUAAAUGAAGGCUGGAAACUGGCAUUGGCAGCACUGCCUAAUUUUUAGCUAAUACCUUUGUGGGUUCUGCGCUCGCAUCUGGCCAGUGCCAUCAUGCUGGGGAUGAUUAUAAUAGGCUGCUGCUCUUUCCCAAGCAGGAAGCUGGAGUCCUGUAACUGACAGGCUAAACAGAAGCUUGUUCCAAACACAACAGCACAUCACAGCCAGAGAAGGGUCUGCGGUGCGGGACUUCUCCCAAGGCAUAAAAAAGAGAGAGAGAGAGAGAGAGAAAUGUGUUAACUGUGCUAACAGUGCCAAGUAAUAUGCUUCGUUAAAAAUUUAAUCACCUACAAGUGCAAAACAAGUGCAAAGCAAUCAUGUUGUAAUUAGCACAGCAAUUAACACCUCCCUUUUCGAUAGCACAUGCAUCCUAGGAAGGGCAGGAUUGCAAGUGUUUAUGCUGCUGACAGCCUCAGUUCCUAUAGAGAGGGAA